AUGGAUCAGGGCUGGGCGAGCUGGUUCGGCGCCGGCGUCACCUCCGCCUUCUUCGCCUCGCUCGAGCGCUGCUCCUGCAUCAACCUCUCCACCGACGACGACGACGACGAGGAAGAGGCCAACGACCGCCCCCUCAUGCUCGCCGCCCCCUCCGACCAGCCCCAGCUCGACGCCGCCCCCGCCCCCGCCGUCGCCGCCGGCAAGGAGGAGGAGCAGGAGCAGGGGCCUCCCCUCCCGCCCGUGUGA
rnacentral:rRNA from 1 species